GGAGUCUCACACAGAUCACUGACCUUCACUGUUACCAGACUGGUGCUUUAACACCAUGUCUUUAUUUUCACUCGAGUGUCACAGUUGGAUCCUUUUCACAGCACUGAUAACUGAUCGACCCUAACCCUGAUCGAUUUGUUCCGGUCGAGACUUUUUAAAGUAUUUUGUAACUGUUGGAGCGUGUAGAGAGGAGCGAAACACCACACGUCAGAUUCAACGAACAAAGUCAAAGUUUUAAUAUGACUCAUUUUCUCAAUAUUAAAAUCAUUUCAAAGUGAUCAAACUGUAUUCACACACACACACACACACGCACACACACACACACACACACACAUUCUUGGCCACAUCUGUUCCCUCUGAGCAGCCGGUCCACCAGUCUGGACCAGUCAGAGCUUUAAACUGGACAAACACAACGUGAGGUAAACACACACACACACACACACAGAGUGAAGGAAUGCGCACACAAACAGAAGCAGAUGUAAACGAGUGUGAACACUAAGAAAUAUAGACGCGCACACACACACGGAGGGUAAACAGUGGUGGUGAGCUGGCACUGGUCCUGACAGAGUUAUUCCAAACUCAGACAUUCCUCAACUCACUUUCCUCCCGACAAUUACCCUCCGAACUCUGACUGUGUGUGUGUGUGUGUGUGUGUGUGUGUGUGUGUGUGUGUGUGUCGGAGCUCAGAACAAUAAGUUAAAACUUCUCUGCGACCAGGACGAGUUUGAGGACAAAGCAGGAUGUUUUAUUCACGUGUUGUUUCGUAGCUUUGAAUAGAGGUACUGAGGCUCAGAGGCAGCUCCUUGUCAUUAGAAGGUUGCUGGUUUGAUUCCCCUGAUCUGCAUGUUUAAGUGUCCUUGGGCAAGAUACUGAACCCCAAACUGCAUUGAUGUGGGAUUAUUAUAUUUGCACGAUCAAUAAUUGCAGGAGUGCAGCAUCGAGCCGUCGUGGAUAUUGAGAGAAACAGCUAAACGUCCUGGAACACAGGCUGGUGUUAGCAGAAGACUACAGUUCCCAUGAUGCACCACUAGCUCAGAGAGCGGUAAGUGGUUCUGCUCCUGGUUCUGCUCGGUGUUUGGGUUUUACUGAUAAUGUGUCCUUUGCUGUCUGAAGGUGUUCGGCCUGAUGAUCAUCCAGCUGCUGAGAGGAAAACACCUUCAGACGGAGCUGGACAGGUUGUCCUGUGAGUCCUGUCAGGAUUUCACAACCGGGCCGUUUUCAAGUCGGGCUGGAGUUGAACAAACCCAAUAACAGGAAGACGACAGGAAGUGACCCCGACCCUGCGGCUGAGAGACGUGACGCCGUCAGCUUCCUCCAAGUGUCAAAACAACUCUGGAGUUACAAUGAAAACUUGAAUACGUUUACAAGAGUUUCAGCUGCAAAUUCUUGAUUUUUCAGACGAACAUCUCACGUACGUGUCCACGCGUCAUCACGUGUUCCACAGUCAGAGCCAUCGACCGUCUGAGCUGUGACUCAUCAGUGAUGCAGAUGACAUCAUGUCAGCUCCUGAAACAGGAAGUGAUUUACUGUCUGAGCAGACGAGACAAAACCAUCCUGAGGAGCUCACCUGAGAUGAUCCUGUAAUCAACCCAUAACAGAUCAAUAACAGUGUGUGUGUGUGUGUGUGUGUGUGUGUGUGUGUGUGUGUGUGAGCUCACAUUCCUUACAGACAUGUCAGCUUCCUGGCAGCCGUCUCAUAACACACACAUGUUAACUGUGUGUGUGUGAUGAGGAAAACUGACUCCAUGGAUUAAGUCGUUUCUGUUGAGUCAGCCCCUUGUGUGUGUGUGUGUGUGUGUGUGUGUGUGUGUGUGUGUGCAUGUGUGUGUGUGAGAAAAAGUCAAAGACAGUCACACACUGAUUUUAUGAUCAUCUCGUGUGUGUGUGUGUGUGUGUGUGUGUUCAUCAUGUCUUUAUUCACAUCUACUGUUUCAGCCUCAAGGCAACACACACACACAUUAACACACGUUAAUACGCCCACGCAUUGUGCAGCCAUCACACACACACACACACACACACACACACACACACAGUCUGACCCCUGCAGCGGCGCUUGUCAUCUGUAACCACGGUGAUUCAGCUCGAUGGAGACGCUGUGAGAAUCUGAGCGACUCAAACCUCCAGCGCUCGUUCAGACGUCUCCAGCUGUUUUCUACAGUAUGAAAAAUGAUCGUUGUUUAAUUCACUCUUUCAUCAGAGUGAGUCUGUGGACUCGUCCUGAUCCGUUAAAUGUGUCUCGAGGAGACGAGGAACCGUCAGCACUGACAUCACACUGCACCACCUGGGAGGUCUUCAUCUGUGUGUGUGUGUCUCCAGUUCACACCUCAUAAAACAGACAGUUACCUGGUUACCAUGGCGACCACUGAGACAGUAAUGACAGGGCCGGUCGUCGCCUCUGACAGCCCGGUGAACCGUGAGCUGAUUGGCUGAGAGGAUCAGACAAGUUUAAAUGUUUCGUCCCGCAGCUUCUAAUCACUUGCGACAGAUUACAGAGCGGCAGGUGACGUGUGUGUGUGUGCGUGUGUGUGUGUGUGUGUGUGUGCGUAAUGUUGAUGAUCACAAAGCUAACACAACAGCGUGCUGUGUGUCAUAACUCACACUAUGUAUUUAGAGUUCAGCACUGAGGUGUUUUGAGUCAGCAGGUAGCUGCUACAUUUAGCAGCAGUUAGCGAGGACUUUAGCAACAAGUGAAGCUAUCUGUCCAGAGUAGAGCCUCUUCUUCUUCUUCUUCUUCUUCUUCUUCUUCUUCUUCUUC